rnacentral:rRNA from 1 species
UACGAGAGGCCCAAACGUUAUUCGGAAUUACUGGGCUUAAAGAGUUCGUAGGCGGCAUUGCAAGUAGGGUGUGAAAGCCCUCGGCUCAACCGAGGAAUUGCGCUCUAAACUGCAGUGCUUGAGGAACCUAGAGGUGAGCAGAACAGAUGGCGGAGCGGUGAAAUGCGUUGAUAUCAUCUGGAAUACCGGAGGCGAAGGCGGCUCACUGGGGGUUUUCUGACGCUGAGGAACGAAAGCCAGGGUAGCGAACGGG